CUUCAGCGAGCCCAACCACAGCGGCCGGUCCUCCGUCCGCUCCCGGCCGUAGGUGGCGAGGAGCGCCUGCGCCUC
rnacentral:antisense_RNA from 1 species